AGUCAACCUGCCCUAAAGACACUGACAACCCCGGGAAACUGGGACUAAUCUGUGAUAGGUCAUCUCAUCUGGAAGGAGAGAUGGCUUAAAGGGGUGCGAGAGCUUCUUUCUUGUACUCGCUUUAGGAUGGGACUGCGGCCGAUCAGGCUGUUGGUGGGGUAAUGGCCCACCAAACCUGUUACCGGUACGGGCCUUGAGAGAGGGGGCCCGGAGAUGGACACUGAGAGAAGGGUCCAGGUCCUACGGGGCGCAGCAGGCGCGAAACCUUCGCAAUGCGCGAAAGCGUGACGAGGUUAAUCCGAGUGGUCCCCGCUGAGGGGAUCUUUUGUUGGCUCUAAAACGGCCAGUGAAUAAGGGGAGGGCAAGUCUGGUGUCAGCCGCCGCGGUAAUACCAGCUCCUCGAGUGGUCGGGGCGAUUAUUGGGCCUAAAGCAUCCGUAGCCUGUUCUGUAGGUCCUCUGUUAAAUCCAACGGCUUAACCGUUGGCCCGCAGAGGAUACCGCAGGACUAGGAGGCGGGAGAGGUGGACGGUACUCCACGUGUAGGGGUAAAAUCCUUUGAUCCGUGGAAGACCACCAGUGGCGAAGGCGGUCCACCAGAACGCGCUCGACGGUGAGGGAUGAAAGCUGGGGGAGCGAACCGGAUUAGAUACCCGGGUAGUCCCAGCCGUAAACGAUGCAAGCUAGAUGAUCCGGUCGCAAAUCGCGAUCGGAGUGUCGCAGGGAAGCCGUUAAGCUUGCCGCCUGGGGAGUACGGUCGCAAGACU
rnacentral:rRNA from 1 species